rnacentral:tRNA from 1 species
GGGACUGAAGCUCAGUCGGUUAGAGCACU